UAUAGCGAUCUGGGGUACCAUUUUGGUUGAGAAUUAAACCCAUUGAACCUGUUAGGCUAAGACCGACGAAGGAAGAUCCACACAAGUUUUU
rnacentral:ncRNA from 2 species